rnacentral:rRNA from 1 species
AUUUUCGUCAAUGGGGGAAACCCUGAACGAGCAAUGCCGCGUGAGUGAAGAAGGUCUUCGGAUCGUAAAGCUCUGUUGUAAGUGAAGAACGGCUCAUAGAGGAAAUGCUAUGGGAGUGACGGUAGCUUACCAGAAAGCCACGGCUAACUACGUGCCAGCAGCCGCGGUAAUACGUAGGUGGCAAGCGUUAUCCGGAAUCAUUGGGCGUAAAGGGUGCGUAGGUGGCGCACUAAGUCCGUAGUAAAAGGCAAUGGCUCAACCAUUGUAAGCUAUGGAAACUGGUAUGCUGGAGUGCAGAAGAGGGCGAUGGAAUUCCAUGUGUAGCGGUAAAAUGCGUAGAUAUAUGGAGGAACACCAGUGGCGAAGGCGGUCGCCUGGUCUGUAACUGACACUGAGGCACGAAAGCGUGGGGAGCA